ensembl:lncRNA
AUUGGUAGAUGUUUAUCAUCUUUGCUUCAGAAGUGUGUUAUUCAAUCUCUAUACUAUUAGCAUUUUUAAGCUUGUAGUUGACACAUAUGAGCAGUUUACAGCCAUUAGUAUGGGAUGUUGUUGCUUUAGUGCACUAGUCUUUUUUUCUGGCCAGUCUUGUUUUCUUCAUCCGAAAUAAUUAUUUAAUUAUUAUCUACAAGGGGUGUGUUUUUAUUUAUUCAGCAUCGGCAAAAUAUAGUCAACGUUUUGAGUCUCUAGCAUAUAUGGGUCUGUUUGGAAUGUUUUCCAAAUGUCCUAAUUAAAAAUAAGACAUAUCGGCUCGUAACACAUGCACUAAAGGUCAUUUGUGCUGUGAUUCACUCGAAGUUAUUAUGCUUUUAAUCUAAAAUGUACCCUGAACAAGUGCUGUUAUUCUUCGAUUAAACCGUGUGCAAAUGUAUGAACGUGCAAAUGACUGCCAUCUAUACAGUAAAAUCAGCGCUUUGCAUGACUGCUCUACCAACUAAGAGCUUUUUUAAAAUAUUAAAGCUACUUUUAAAAAAGGCUUAAUCACUGCAAAUGCCAUUGUUUAUUUCUGUAUUUAUAUAACUAAGUGGUUCACUGUACAGUGAACCUCUUAAGUCAUUUGUAAGUAAAUAUUGCAUAGUGAACGGGUCCUGUGUGAUAAAGCUAUUCUUAGGCACUCGCAUUGUUGAUGAGCUUUAUUCAUGUUAAAGCUGCAGUACCAAACUUUUGCCAUCUCUGUUUGAAACAUAAAAUUCCAAGUUACUUGCAGAGUAAUUUUUUUACAUGGGUUGUUGUCGGAUGAAUCUGAUGGUUUGAGGUGUUCAUAUGGGUUGUAUAGUAGCUCGGAGGCGGAGGUGGCGGCGGAUCAGGUUUUCUUGGAGGGGAGGUGAGUUGUUCUCUCGCAUAGCUAGCAGAAAAUAAUUGCAAUUUCCACGCUGACCAUAGCAAAAUAAACAAAGUUAAAAAAUAGAGGACACUCAAUACCUAGCUGAAUCAAGCAAACAGGUGUGCUAAUGUUAGAUAGCUACCUGUUGAGCCACUAAAAUGUCUUACCUGUUCAGCAGGAAAAAAGCCAUCUCUGCGUCAGUCUUCAAUCCCUUCAGAUCUCUGAGUUUACUCCACCUCUCAAAAGCCAUGCUGAUAUUUAUUCUCUGUCACGUCCCCUUUUUGACCGCAGGCUCUCCGCAGUUUGAGGUUCCUUGGUUUUGACAACAGGUGAUACCCCAGAUGUCAAGAUUUAGAACUAUUCAGAUUAAAAGCAGCUAUCUAGGUGAAAUUUAAAUUCUCAACAAUUGUAAGAAGAAGCUAUAAACACUCCACCAUCCUCAGCACCAACACACGAGAUAUAGUAGCCGGAUCUUCUUCUGUUUACGGACGUGACGUAACCACACAACGACGAAUGACGUCAAACUGACAUUUCCCAUGAAAUCCGACCUGACAGCUCAAAUUAUAAUUCAUUAUUUUUAAGCUUACCGUUGCGAAUCAGGGUAAGGUAAGGAGACAGGAGUAAGGAGUUUUGAACACUGAUCUUUUUAUUUACUCGCUCAUUAAUUGAUCUUUUGUUCAUUUUUAACCAAAAAAAAGUUUGAUACUGCAGCUAUAAAUAAAAUACUAAGUGAUUUAUUUAAUUUAGUAAAAGUUAAUGUUGUUAUUUAAUGAAUAUUGGUAUUAGUAUUAUUAAAGGAGAAUGUUAAAAUUUUUCAUUUAAGAUUUAGAUUUUAAAAAAUUUCUGGUCAACUUAAAUAACACAGUGUUACAUUUCACAAUGUGGAGCACUAAACUGUAAAAGUUGUUUUUUAAUACUGUUUCCUUCAGAAAGUUCUAAUACUAUUGAAUGUGUCUGUAAAUAAGAUUAUCGUAGUGUAAAUAUGUAAAUAUUGCUGAUAUGGCAUAUGGCUAUUAUUUUAAUAAUAUAUUAGAACUAUAUACUGCUAUACAUAUAGUAUCAAGGAAUACAGAAUUUCUCUUAUGUUUAUUGUUUACAUGUAUGAUUAAUUUGUGCAUUACUGUGUGUGUUAUUUCUUAAUAAAAUUACACUAUUAUUUGAUCUUGUUUAGAUUUAUAAUACCACUGAGGCCAUGUACAGCCUCAAAAAGUAUUUAGACACUUAAGCCACACUUACAAAUGUAUUAAUUUCGCUGCAUUAAAAAAAACUACAAACCAAAUAAACCAAAAUUUAUUUUAAAUUUAAGCAUACCUUUCAAGCAAAAUAUUUCCCCCCCAAAAAAUAGAUUAUGUUUAAAAAUAUAUAUUAAAAAAAAAAAAAUACAAUAAACAUAGACAAAAAGUAUUUGGAUAUUCAGUAGUAGCUUCAUUAAAGAUCACAUAUACAGUGUUUCAUUGUUUAGUUUGCCAUCCUUCGUUUCACAGAACUUCUUGACUACCUCCAGGCAUGAAAUUAACUAGUUUCUGUAACAGUUGUGGUG